GCCGCGCGCGGAAGCACACCGGGAAAAACGGAGGCGAACUGUGGCGGCACUUCCGCUUCCAAGCUGGAGACCGGAAGGGCCUCGCUGUCCGAGUCAGAAUACUUCAGAAAAAUGAAAUUUCAGUUCUUACGACUUGGUUUAUUUCUUGAGUUUCCUCUGGGAUAUCUGUCUGUGCAGUCUUCUCUUCCGCCUGGGGAACAGCAUGCUCCUUCUCCGUGAGGAGCAUCUCCAUGCAGCAGGGGAACUCGUGCAUGAGUUGAUGUGAUGCUGAGCUCUGCAAGCCUGCUGAUGCAUCUUGGGUGCUUUGAUCACCUGGGAGUCACAUUGUCCUGAAGACUGUGAAUUGAGUGAAGCACAACUGCACACAGAAAGCUCACACUAUUUCCCUUGAUUUGAGAACACUGCCCAUGAAUGCUAAUAUGUGAAUAAAGAAUGCUUUCAUCUGCCUUGUCAGAAAAUAAGAAAUGUGCAGUUGGCCAUGGGCCAGCAAGAUGGUACAGCAGGUAAAAUUCCUUCUGCCAAGCCUGAUGACCUGAGUUUGGUCCCUGGAACCCACAUGGUAGAAAGGAAGAACUGACUCUGGAGCUAAGACAUGGAAACAGCCUAGAUGUCCAUUAACUGACGAAUGAAUAAUGACACUGUGGUAUCUGUAUAUAAUGGAAUUUUAUUCAGCUGUAAAGAAAAACAAGAUUAUGAAAUCUGCAGGCAAAUGGAUGGAGUUGGAAAACAUUAUACUGAGUGAGGCAAAAAGAAAGAAAAGAAGAAAAGAAGAGCAAGCCAGUA